rnacentral:rRNA from 1 species
GAAAAAUGGAGAAGUCUGACGGAGCACGCCGCGUGAGUGAUGAAGGUUUUCGGAUCGUAAAACUCUGUUGUUAGGGAAGAACAAGUACCGUUCGAAUAGGGCGGCACCUUGACGGUACCUAACCAGAAAGCCACGGCUAACUACGUGCCAGCAGCCGCGGUAAUU